GACGUAGGGCGCGAGCGUUGUCCGGAUUUAUUGGGCGUAAAGAGCUCGUAGGCGGCUUGUUGCGUCGACCGUGAAAACCCGGGGCUCAACUUCGGGCUUGCGGUCGAUACGGGCGGGCUAGAGUUCGGUAGGGGAGACUGGAAUUCCUGGUGUAGCGGUGAAAUGCGCAGAUAUCAGGAGGAACACCGGUGGCGAAGGCGGGUCUCUGGGCCGAUACUGACGCUGAGACGCGAAAGCGUGGGGAGCAAACAGG
rnacentral:rRNA from 1 species